GACGAACGCUGGCGGCGUGCUUAACACAUGCAAGUCGAACGGAAAGGCCUCUUUCGGGGGGUACUCGAGUGGCGAACGGGUGAGUAACACGUGAGUAACCUGCCCUUGACUUUGGGAUAACUUCAGGAAACUGGGGCUAAUACCGGAUAGGAGCUCCUGCUGCAUGGUGGGGGUUGGAAAGUUUCGGCGGUUGGGGAUGGACUCGCGGCUGAUCAGCUUGUUGGUGGGGUAGUGGCUUACCAAGGCUUUGACGGGUAGCCGGCCUGAGAGGGUGACCGGCCACAUUGGGACUGAGAUACGGCCCAGACUCCUACGGGAGGCAGCAGUGGGGAAUAUUGCACAAUGGGUGGAAGCCUGAUGCAGCAACGCCGUGUGCGGGAUGACGGCCUUCGGGUUGUAAACCGCUUUCGCUCAUGACGAAGCUUUGUGUGACGGUAGUGGGUAAAGAAGCACCGGCUAACUACGUG
rnacentral:rRNA from 1 species